GAACUCUAAACCCAACGGGUGAAAUGAUAGAGUAACGUCUAGAAGCGCCCGCUCUGAUACUCCGACAUGCUCCAAUCUAGGUAUGCAAGGUUGCGGUGUGAAUCUCGGUGAAGUCGGCUGAAAAUUACCGUCUGAUGAUUCUCAUUCAUGGUGAACGUCAAUGAAAUCUCCUCAGCGGUGAGGGGUGUAAUCGAUAGGCCGGGAGUCGUAAA
rnacentral:ncRNA from 1 species